GCUUACGGCCAUACCACAUUAGGCACGCCCGAUCUCGUCUGAUCUCGGAAGCUAAGCAGGGUCGGGCCUGGUUAGUAUUUGGAUGGGUGACCGCCUGGGAAUACCAGGUGCUGUAAGCA
rnacentral:rRNA from 10 species